rnacentral:rRNA from 1 species
GCUAGUCAUAUGCUUGUCUCAAGUCGUAACAAGGUUUCACUGUAGUCAUAUGCUUGUCUCAAGUCGUAACAAGGUUUCACUGUAUUCAUAUGCUUGUCUCAAGUCUAAUACAUGCUUCAAAUCCCGACUUCCUAAGGGAUGUAUUUAUUAAAUUAAAAACCCAUGGCCCUCCGGGGCUCUCUGGUGAUUCAUGAUAACUCCUCGAAUCGCAUGGCCUUGCGCCGGCGAUGGUUCAUUCAAAUUUCUUCCCUAUCAACUUUCGAUGUUUGGGUAUUGGCCAAACAUGGUUGCAACGGGUAACGGAGGGUUAGGGCUCGACCCCGGAGAAGGAGCCUGAGAAACGGCUACUACAUCCAAGGAAGGCAGCAGGCGCGCAAAUUACCCAAUCCCGACUCGGGGAGGUAGUGACAAUAAAUACUGAUACAGGGCUCUUUUGGGUCUUGUAAUUGGAAUGAGUACAAUUUAAAUCCCUUAACGAGGAACAAUUGGAGGGCAAGUCUGGUGCCAGCAGCCGCGGUAAUUCCAGCUCCAAUAGCGUAUAUUAAAGUUGUUGUGGUUAAAAAGCUCGUAGUUGAACCUUGGGCCUGGCUGGCCGGUCCGCCUCACCGCGUGUACUGGUCCGGCCGGGCCUUUCCCUCUGUGGAACCCCAUGCCCUUCACUGGGUGUGGCGGGGAAACAGGACUUUUACUGUGAAAAAAAUUAGAGUGCUCCAGGCAGGCCUAUGCUCGAAUACAUUAGCAUGGAAAUAAUAGAAUAGGACGUGUGGGUUC